GCUCAUGUGGCUUAGUAGGUAGAGUGCUUGCCUAGCACGUAUGAGGACCUGUGUUGAAUUCCCAGCUCGGCA
rnacentral:tRNA from 1 species